GUUAGUCAAACCAUCCUCGUCUGUGUCGGGGAGGCGUUCUCCUCUAAUUCAAGCCACGAUCAGCAGUGGAAAUUCUGUUUGACUCAGCUGCGCAGCCUUUAGCCCCCUGUGGCUGCAGCCCGCAGUGGUGGUCUGGCCCUUCACAGCCUCGGUUCAGGUUCCUCACCAGACGAGGAAUAACGGCGGCUCUCCCAGGCUCCCGCUGGCUCGCCAUUUAGGCGAAAGAAAACUUCGCCGUCGGCUGCGUGAGUGUGGCUACGGCAACAUCUGGUGGUUCAAUCCAGAUGUGGGUCCAGAUUAUAAAACUGUCACAGAUUCCAGUUGAAACUCGUCAAGCUUUGAUCUUUCUCCUACGCCGUCCGCCGUCCACGUUUGCUGCUCUUCCUCCAGCACCAUGUUGACAUGACAACAGGGUCUGAGGCAGCUGAGGCCUCAACAGACGGACCGUUCAGGGUGAUCUCUUCAGGAGAUCUGCUCCUAAAUGGCAGUGACAGAUUGCGCCACAUUUGGGAGCUCACUUCAAAGCAGAAGCUUCGCUCAAAGCAGUGUGAGCCCCUCAGAGUGGAAGCA
rnacentral:lncRNA from 1 species